rnacentral:rRNA from 1 species
GGAAUCUUCCACAAUGGACGAAAGUCUGAUGGAGCAACUCCGCGUGCAGGAUGAAGGCCUUCGGGUCGUAAACUGCUUUUAUGAGUGAAGAAUAUGACGGUAACUCAUGAAUAAGGGUCGGCUAACUACGUGCCAGCAGCCGCGGUCAUACGUAGGACCCAAGCGUUAUCCGGAGUGACUGGGCGUAAAGAGUUGCGUAGGUGGUUAGUAAAGCGAAUAGUGAAAUCUGGCGGCUCAACCGUACAGGCUAUUAUUCGAACUCACUAACUCGAGAAUGGUAGAGGUAACUGGAAUUUCUAGUGUAGGAGUGAAAUCCGUAGAUAUUAGAAGGAACACCAAUGGCGUAGGCAGGUUACUGGACCAUUUCUGACACUGAGGCACGAAAGCGUGGGGAGCGA